rfam:Tepidanaerobacter acetatoxydans Re1 complete genome
GGUCAAGCGAACAAGGGCACACGGAGGAUGCCUUGGCGUAAGGGGGCGACGAAGGACGCAGCGAGCGGCGAAACGCUCCGGGGAGCUGCAAGCGAGCAACGAUCCGGAGAUAUCCGAAUGGGGGAACCCACUUGAGGCGAACCUCAAGUAUCUCAUACUGAAUCCAUAGGUAUGAGAAGCUAACCGGGUGAACUGAAACAUCUAAGUAACCCGAGGAAAAGAAAGAAAGAUCGAUUCCCUAAGUAGCGGCGAGCGAACGGGGAAGAGCCCAAACCAUAUAUGUGGAAGGCCGUUACCGUUGCAUAUAUGGGGUUAAGGAGUGUCAAGCCAAAUAACGGAUAGGCAAGCGAAGGUAAAAGGUAGCAGAACACUGCUGGAAAGCAGGGCCAUAGAAAGUGACAGCCUAGUAUGCGAAACCUGAAGACCUAGCCGACACAUCCAGAGUACUGCGGGGCACGAGGAACCCCGUAGGAAGUAGGGAGGACCAUCUCCCAAGGCUAAAUACCACCUUACGACCGAUAGUGAACUAGUACCGUGAGGGAAAGGUGAAAAGCACCCCGGGAGGGGAGUGAAAGAGAACCUGAAACCGUGUGUCUACAAGCGGAGGGAGCGCAAGCGACCUCGUACUUUUUGUAGAACGGACCGGCGAGUUACCGUAUUAAGCGAGGUUAAGGAGUAAAGCUCCGCAGCCGAAGCGAAAGCGAGUCUUAACAGGGCAUAAAGUUUAAUGCGGUAGACCCGAAACCGUGUGAUCUACCCAUGGACAGGGUGAAGCGAGACUAACCUCUCGUGGAGGCCCGAACCGUGUUGACGUUGAAAAGUCAUGGGAUGAGCUGUGGGUAGGGGUGAAAAGCCAAUCGAACACGGAGAUAGCUGGUUCUCCCCGAAAUAGCUUUAGGGCUAGCCUUAACCGAACGCCCUCGGAGGUAGAGCACUGAAUGGGCUAGGGGCCGAAAAGGUUACCGAACCCUAUCAAACUCCGAAUGCCGAGGAGCGCUAGUUAGGAGUCAGACUGUGGGGGAUAAGCUCCAUAGUCGAGAGGGAAACAGCCCAGACCGUCAGCUAAGGUCCCCAAGUGAACCUAAGUGGGAAAGGAUGUUGCAUUGCGAAGACAACCAGGAUGUUGGCUUAGAAGCAGCCAUACAUUCAAAGAGUGCGUAAUAGCUCACUGGUCGAGUGGUACUGCGCCGAAAAUGUAACGGGGCUCAAGGUUCACACCGAAGCUGCGGCUUUGCAGCGCAAGCUGCAAGGGGUAGGGGAGCGUUCCUAUGAGGUAGAAGCAUAGCUGAAAAGCUAUGUGGACUUAUAGGAAGUGAGAAUGCCGGUAUAAGUAGCGAGAGGCAGGUGAGAAUCCUGUCCGCCGAAAGCCUAAGGUUUCCUGAGGAAGGCUCGUCCGCUCAGGGUAAGCCGGGGCCUAAGCCGAGGCAUUACAUGCGUAGGCGAUGGACAACUGGUUGAAAUUCCAGUGCCACCUAAAGCCGUAUGAGCGAAGGGGUGACGCAGGAGGGUAAGCUGAGCACGCGGUUGGUAGAGCGUGUCCAAACACAAAGGCAAACCCGGUAGGCAAAACCGCCGGGUCAUGGCUGAAGUGUGAUGGGGAGUGAAAAUAAAGUAACGAAGCGGCCGAACCCAUACUGCCAAGAAAAGCCUCUAGCAAGGCUAAAGGUGCCCGUACUGCAAACCGACACAGGUAGGCGAGGAGAGAAUCCUAAGGCGAGCGGGGAAAACUCUUGUUAAGGAACUCGGCAAACUAACCCCGUAACUUAGGGAGAAGGGGUACCUGAGUAAUCUUAAGCACAACUUAAGAUGAAAAGGUCGCAGUGAAUAGGCCCAAGCGACUGUUUAGCAAAAACACAGGUCUCUGCUAAGGAGAAAUCCGACGUAUAGGGGCUGACGCCUGCCCGGUGCUGGAAGGUUAAGGGGAACACUUAGCGCAAGCGAAGGUGUGAACCGAAGCCCCAGUGAACGGCGGCCGUAACUAUAACGGUCCUAAGGUAGCGAAAUUCCUUGUCGGGUAAGUUCCGACCCGCACGAAUGGCGUAACGACUUGGGCGCUGUCUUAACAAGAGACCCGGCGAAAUUGUAAUAUGAGUGAAGAUACUCAUUACCCGCGACAGGACGGAAAGACCCCAUGGAGCUUUACUGCAACCUGAUAUUGGAUUUCGGUAUCAAAUGUACAGGAUAGGUGGGAGGCACAGAACCAGGUUCGUCAGGAUCUGGGGAGCCACCCUUGGGAUACCACCCUUUUGAUACUGAAGUUCUAACCACAAGCCGUAAUCCGGCUGUGGGACAUUGUCAGGUGGACAGUUUGACUGGGGCGGUCGCCUCCCAAAAAGUAACGGAGGCGCCCAAAGGUUACCUCAGCACGGUUGGGAAUCGUGCAUUGAGUGCAAAGGCAUAAGGUAGCCUAACUGCGAGACCAACAAGUCGAGCAGAGUCGAAAGACGGGCUUAGUGAUCCGGCGGCACUGAAUGGAAGGGCCGUCGCUCAACGGAUAAAAGCUACCCUGGGGAUAACAGGCUGAUCUCCCCCAAGAGUCCACAUCGACGGGGAGGUUUGGCACCUCGAUGUCGGCUCGUCGCAUCCUGGAGCUGAAGUAGGUUCCAAGGGUUGGGCUGUUCGCCCAUUAAAGCGGCACGCGAGCUGGGUUCAGAACGUCGUGAGACAGUUCGGUCCCUAUCCGUCGUGGGCGUAGGAUACUUGAAGGGAGCUGCCCCUAGUACGAGAGGACCGGGGUGGACGGACCGAUGGUGUAUCAGUUGUCGUGCCAACGGCAUAGCUGAGUAGCCAAGUCCGGCAGGGAUAAGCGCUGAAAGCAUCUAAGUGCGAAGCCCACCUUAAGAUAAGGUAUCCCAUCCCAAAAAGGGAGUAAGACUCCGGGAAGACUACCCGGUAGAUAGGUCAGAGGUGUAAGAGUUGUAAAGCUUUAAGCCGACUGAUACUAAUAAGUCGAGGGCUUGACCAA